CUGAAAAUGUGUUCUCACGUCCGAAUCCGAACAGUUACAGUGUGUCAGGAAACACAAACAGGCUUGAGAAGGAAUGACGCGGUACGGAGGGGAUCUCCAAAUUAAACUAGAUGAGCAAGGACGGUGUAAGAGAAAAUGCUGAUAUUGCUACAAAAGACAGUAAUUUCCAGACUGAUUUUCCAGAAUGCACGUUCAAAUACAGUCAAGAAAAUAUAUCAGCCAUUCAGCCUUGCACAAGAGAUGGGAAAGGGGAGGUUUAGAAGGCUAUAAGUGUAUCCAGCAUUCCAACUCAUUAAAGGACUCUAGGGACGACCUUCCAAAACCUCAUCAUUGACUGGGACAAUGUGUUUGUUAUCUAAAAUGUUUAAAGUUAAAAUGUGUAUAUAACAGAUGUGUAUCUAUGUAUAUUAAAGAUAAAGCAAGCAUACAAAUGUUUUAAUGUUCUCAGACAAUUGUAUAGCAGUACUAGUUUACAGUUUAUGCUUUUAUCUGUGUAUAGAUAAUACUGACAGGAAAAAAAGGUAUUCCUUUACUAAUAGUUUAGUCUCCAGAAUAUAAUAUUAGCAGAUUUCAGGUUGUUUUUAUCUGUGUUCAGGUAACACUACCAGAAAAUAUAUUCAUAUAGUAUUUGUUUAGUUUCCAGAAUAUGACAUUUAUGCACAGUUAUUUAAUAUGGUCAGUAUAAAUAUAUAUCACUUUAAUGUAAAUUUCAGUCAAGGUUCAGAAUAUAAUGAAUUCAGUACAGUACAUUUCAGAUUAAAAAAAAUAUUAUUAUUA